CAAUUGUUCUUUAAUUGGGGACUAGAAUGAAUGAAUUUUUGGUUAAAUUCUUUAUUUUUAUAUUUUAUUAAAAUUUAUUUAUUAGGUGAAAAUACCUAAAAAUAUUUAUUAGACGAGAAGACCCCAGGAAUUUGUUUAUUUUUUUUUAUUGGGGCGAUAUUUAAACAAAUAAACUUUAAUUAUUAUAAUUUAACGAAAUAUUUUAAUUAAAAAUAAAUUACCCUGGGGAUAACAGCAUAAUUUUUAUAAAAGAUUGU
rnacentral:rRNA from 1 species